rfam:Triticum aestivum genome assembly, contig: Triticum_aestivum_CS42_TGACv1_scaffold_000130_1AL
GCAAUAUUCCCUCAGUCCGAAAAUACUUAUCAUUAAAAUGAAUGAAAAAAGGAUGCAUUUAAACGUAUUUUAGUUUCAAAUACAUCUUUUUUUAUCCAUUUUAAUGACAAGUAUUUCCGGACGGAGGAAAUACUUU